GCUGCUUGCUACACAUUUUGUUAUAAAGCAACUCACAUUUCGGCUUAGACGCUGCUGCUUAUAGCAUCGUCUCUAAAAAAUUUUAAGUAUUGGCAUUAAAAAUUUAUUAUUUAAUACUUAAUCCAGUUUAAGUAUGCAGCGCGCUCUUACGUUCAUUGUUGGUGGCAUUGUUGGCUAUUUAGUUGCCAAGAAUCAUCGUUAAAAUCUGAUUGAAGCAGUUUGAAGAAAAGAAAAUGACGCACGUUAUUUCAUUUGCGCUGGGCAUUCUCAUUGGCAUGAUGAUGUGCAAACGCUGCGGUCCAUAAACUAAACCAAAACAAUAGCCCCACACGACUGCAGCUGUAAAUAUUUCGUUGUUAAAUAUAAAAUUAAUGCAUAACUAAACUUCGA